AGAGUUUGAUCAUGGCUCAGGAUGAACGCUAGCUACAGGCCUAACACAUGCAAGUCGAGGGGAAACGACAUCGAAAGCUUGCUUUUGAUGGGCGUCGACCGGCGCACGGGUGAGUAACGCGUAUCCAACCUGCCCAUCACUUGGGGAUAGCCUUGCGAAAGUAAGACUAAUACCCAAUGACGUCUCUAGUAGACAUCUGAAAGAGAUUAAAGAUUUAUCGGUGAUGGAUGGGGAUGCGUCUGAUUAGCUUGUUGGCGGGGUAACGCCACCAAGGCGACGAUCAGUAGGGGUUCUGAGAGGAAGGUCCCCCACAUUGGAACUGAGACACGGUCCAAACUCCUACGGGAGGCA
rnacentral:rRNA from 1 species